UAGGGAAUCUUCCACAAUGGACGAAAGUCUGAUGGAGCAAUGCCGCGUGAGCGAAGAAGGUUUUCGGAUCGUAAAGCUCUGUUGUAAGGGAAGAACACGUACGGGAGUAACUGCCCGUGCCAUGACGGUACCUUAUUAGAAAGCCACGGCUAACUACGUGCCAGCAGCCGCGGUAAUACGUAGGUGGCAAGCGUUGUCCGGAAUUAUUGGGCGUAAAGCGCGCGCAGGCGGUUCUUUAAGUCUGAUGUGAAAGCCCACGGCUCAACCGUGGAGGGUCAUUGGAAACUGGAGAACUUGAGUACAGAAGAGGAAAGCGGAAUUCCACGUGUAGCGGUGAAAUGCGUAGAGAUGUGGAGGAACACCAGUGGCGAAGGCGGCUUUCUGGUCUGUAACUGACGCUGAGGCGCGAAAGCGUGGGGAGCAAACA
rnacentral:rRNA from 1 species